rnacentral:rRNA from 1 species
UACGGGGGGGGCAAGCGUUGUUCGGAAUUACUGGGCGUAAAGGGUGCGUAGGCGGGUCUUUAAGUCAGGGGGGAAAUCCUGGAGCUCAACUCCAGAACUGCCUUUGAUACUGAAGAUCUUGAGUUCGGGAGAGGUGAGUGGAACUGCGAGUGUAGAGGUGAAAUUCGUAGAUAUUCGCAAGAACACCAGUGGCGAAGGCGGCUCACUGGCCCGGUACUGACGCUGAGGUGCGAAAGCGUGGGGAGCAAACAGG